rnacentral:rRNA from 1 species
UCGACGGCAGCAUGAUCUAGCUUGCUAGAUUGAUGGCGAGUGGCGAACGGGUGAGUAAUACAUCGGAACGUGCCCUGUAGUGGGGGAUAACUAGUCGAAAGAUUAGCUAAUACCGCAUACGACCUGAGGGUGAAAGUGGGGGACCGCAAGGCCUCAUGCUAUAGGAGCGGCCGAUGUCUGAUUAGCUAGUUGGUGAGGUAAAGGCUCACCAAGGCGACGAUCAGUAGCUGGUCUGAGAGGACGAUCAGCCACACUGGGACUGAGACACGGCCCAGACUCCUACGGGAGGCAGCAGUGGGGAAUUUUGGACAAUGGGCGAAAGCCUGAUCCAGCAAUGCCGCGUGUGUGAAGAAGGCCUUCGGGUUGUAAAGCACUUUUGUCCGGAAAGAAAUGGCUCUGGUUAAUACCUGGGGUCGAUGACGGUACCGGAAGAAUAAGGACCGGCUAACUACGUGCCAGCAGCCGCGGUAAUACGUAGGGUCCAAGCGUUAAUCGGAAUUACUGGGCGUAAAGCGUGCGCAGGCGGUUGUGCAAGACCGAUGUGAAAUCCCCGAGCUUAACUUGGGAAUUGCAUUGGUGACUGCACGGCUAGAGUGUGUCAGAGGGGGGGUAGAAUUCCCGGUGUAGCAGUGAAAUGCGUAGAGAUGUGGAGGAAUACCGAUGGCGAAGGC